GGAUUAGAUACCCUGGUAGUCCACGCCGUAAACGAUGUCUACUAGUUGUCGGUUGUCUUGUACGACGGGUAACGCAGCUAACGCGAUAAGUAGACCGCCUGGGGAGUACGGCCGCAAGGUUAAAACUCAAAUGAAUUGACGGGGGCCCGCACAAGCGGUGGAGCAUGUGGUUUAAUUCGAAGCAACGCGAAGAACCUUACCUGGCCUUGACAUCCUGCGAACUUUCUAGAGAUAGAUUGGUGCCUUCGGGAACGCAGAGACAGGUGCUGCAUGGCUGUCGUCAGCGUGCCGCU
rnacentral:rRNA from 1 species